rnacentral:rRNA from 1 species
GCAGGUUAAAUAUUCCUGUGCCACCUAAAACUAUAGCAAUGGAUUGACGAAGGGUCAAAGGCAUGCGGACAAUUGGAAACGUCCGUUGGCGCUGUGAGAUAGACUGAUAGGCAAAUCCGUCAGUAUAAUAUCAGGCAGUGAACAAGGGGAAUCUACGGAGGAACCGAUGAUGCGUGAAACACUUCCAAGAAAUAAAUUCUAGCUGUUGAUGGUGACCGUACCAAACCCGACACAGGUGGAUAAGAAGAAUAUUCUCAGGCGCGCGAGAUAACUCUCGUUAAGGAACUCUGCAAAUUAUUCCUGUAACUUCGGGAGAAAGGAAGCCGCGGAUUGUGAUUGGAUUUACUCCAUGAGCAUUCUGUGGUCGCAGAAAAAUGGCCCAGGCGACUGUUUAACAAAAACACAGCACUAUGCGAAGACGCUUUAAGUCUAGGUAUAUGGUGUGAUGCCUGCCCAAUGCCAAAAGGUCAAAAGGAGAAGUUAGCCGUAAGGCGAAGCUUUGAAUUUAAGCCCUGGUGAAUGGCGGCCGUAACAAUAACGGUCCUAAGGUAGCGAAAUUCCUUGUCGGGUAAGUUCCGACCUGCACGAAUGGUAUAACGAUCUGGGCGCUGUCUCAACGAGAGACUCGGUGAAAUUGUAGUAGCGGUGUAGAUGCCGUUUACCCGCAAUAAGACGGAAAGACCCCGUGAACCUUUACUGUACUCUGAUACUGGCUUUUGACUUUUCAUGUGUAGGAUAACCAGGAGACUAUGAAGCCCCAUCGUUAGGUGGGGUGGAGUCAACGUUGAAAUACUGGUCUUGAAAAGUUGGAAAUCUAACGGGAUCCUGUGAAUCCAGGAGCCGGACAAUGUCAGACGGGCAGUUUUGCUGGGGCGGUAUCCUCCUAAAAAGUAACGGAGGAGUCCAAAGCUUGCCUCAUCGUGGUUGGCAAUCACGAGAAGAGCGUAAAGGUAUAAGGCAAGUUGACUGUGAGACUAGCAAGUCGAACAGACACGAAAGUAGGGCUUAGUGAUCCGGCGGUGGAAAGUGGAAUCGCCGUCGCUCAACGGAUAAAAGGUACUCCGGGGAUAACAGGCUUAUCGCCACCAAGAGUUCAUAUCGACGUGGCGGUUUGGCACCUCGAUGUCGACUCAUCGCAUCCUGGGGCUGAAGAAGGUCCCAAGGGUUUGGCUGUUCGCCAAUUAAAGCGGUACGCGAGUUGGGUUCAAAACGUCGUGAGACAGUUUGGUCCCUAUCUGUUGCGGGCGUAGGAUACUUGAGAGGAGCUGCUUCUAGUACGAGAGGACCGAAGUGGACGGACCAAUGGUGUUCCAGUUGUUCUGCCAAGAGCAAACGCUGGGUAGCUAAGUUCGGAAAGGAUAAGCGUU